GUCUUUUUGAGAUAAAUUAAAAGUCUGACCUGCCCACUGAAGUUUUAAAUGGCCGCAGUAUUUUAACUGUGCAAAGGUAGCAUAAUCAUUAGUCUUUUAAUUGAAGGCUGGAAUGAAUGGUUGGACGAAAUAUUAACUGUUUCAUUAGAAUUUAUAUUAGAAUUUUAUUUUUUAGUCAAAAAGCUAAAAUUUAAUUAAAAGACGAGAAGACCCUAUAAAUCUUUAUAUUAAGAUUUUUUUAAUUUUUUAGAUAAAUUUAAUUAUUAUAAUUAUUAAUAUUUUAUUGGGGUGAUAUUAAAAUUUAAAAAACUUUUAAUUUUAAAAACAUUGAUUUAUGAAUAAAUGAUCCAUUAUUAGUGAUUAAAAAUUUAAGUUACUUUAGGGAUAACAGCGUAAUUUUUUUAGAGAGUUCAUAUCGAUAAAAAAGAUUGCGACCUCGAUGUUGGAUUAAGAUAUAAUUUUGGGAGUAGUCAUUCAAAUUUUAAGUCUGUUCGACUUUUAAAUUCUU
rnacentral:rRNA from 1 species